rnacentral:rRNA from 1 species
AUGUUUGCCUCAAACCCGACGGAGGUAGUAUUAGUGCAUGAUUCAUGGCCGGUGCUAGGCGUAAACCGGUUGAUGGCAGGGACUUUUACACCACCUUGCCAGCCGUCUGAUCUGCCUACUAGUGGUCGUUGGAUUACACCUCACGCAGGGAAGCUUUCAACGCAGCGCUAUCACACCUCACGCAGUGCUCCAAGCCUCCAACGUAGCAUCGACGCGGCCAGCCAGCUCCAUUGCAGCUCCAACGCGGCACCGACGCUCCGGCGAAGCUCCAUUCCAACUACGGUCGAGCUCCACUCCAGCCCGGGCCAAAGCUCCAAAGCAGCACUGACGCUCCGGCGAGCUCCAUUGCAGCCCGGGCGCAGCUCCAAAGCAGCACCGACGGCGCACGCAGCACUGGCGCGUCCGGCGAAGCUCCAUUUCAACUCCGGCGGGGCUUCAACAGCUGCGACACCGGAGCCGCCGCCGACCGCUGCAACGCAACACCGUGUGUCGCCGGUGAGAGCUCCAUUGGAGCACCGAGCGCUGCACUACAGCUUCGAGCCCGCCAGAGAGCCCUGCAACAUAGCACCGGGAGCCGCCGGAGAGAGCUCCAAUGGAGCACCGAGCGCGGCACUGCAGCUUCGAGAGCGCCGGCGAGCUCCAUUGGAGCACCGAGCGCUGCACUGCAGCUUCAACAGCCGUCGGCGAGUGCUGCAACGCAGCACCUCGAUCCGCCGGCAAGAGCUCCAUUGCAGCACCGCCGCUGGCUUGCGGGGCGUGUGGUGGUGGCCGUGGCCGUUGGAGUGGGGGGCGGAGGCGGAGGAGGAGGAGGAGGGGGUGGCGGAGGGGCGCGCGAGGCGGCGGAGCGAGUCCUCGCCGAUGACCUUGGCGCCGCGGUCGGUGUCGCGCAAGAGGUCGAUGCGGUCGGGCCCGUGGAUCUUGUAG